rnacentral:tRNA from 1 species
CGGAUGUAGCCAAGUGGAUCAGGGCA